rnacentral:rRNA from 1 species
AUUAAGUAAGUUUUAAUUUAUUUGGUUAUAAAAAAUUAACGGAUAACUGUACCAAAUGUAGAGCUAAUACGUGGGUUUUAUUUUUAAAACGUUUGUUUUUUAUCUCUCUUGGGCAUAGCUUAUCCUUUUUUUGAUGAUUUAUAGUAACAAUAACAAUCAAUUUGUUUGAUUAUCCUUAUAAGUGUCUAACCUAUCAACUAUUGAUGGUAGGGUAUUGGCCUACCGUUGUUUUUACGGGUAACGGGGAAUUAGGGUUUUAUUCCGGAGAGGGAGCUUUAAAAAUGGCUACCACAUCUAAGGAAGGCAGCAGGCGCGUAAAUUACCUAACUUUAAUAUAAAGAGGUAGUGAAUAACAAUAUCAGCAAAGUGCAUUAUAAUGCUCUUUGACUGGAAUGAACAAAGUGUUUAUAUCUUUGUGAUAAUCAAUUGGAGGGCAAGUCUGGUGCCAGCAGCCGCGGUAAUUCCAGCUCCAAUAGCAUAUAUUAAAGUUGUUGCAGUUAAAACGCUCGUAGUUGAAAUGAUGAACUGUUAUUGUUUCUUGUUUAUUAAAUGAGAAAUAUACCUUUUCUUUUUGUUGACAUUUAAUUAUGUUAACUAUGUUAUACUCUGAUUAAAUGGUAGUGUUCAUUGCAAAUUGCUUUGAAUUCUAUAGCAUGGUAUAUGUAAAAAUGGUUGGAACAUUAUGUGUUUAAGGUUUUGUUCCAAAUAAUAAAUAUAUAAAAACUGUUUAGGGCACUCAUACUUAACUGCUAGAGGUGAAAUUCUUAAAUCAGUUAAAGAUGCACAAUUGCAAAAGCAUUUGCCUGGGAAGUUUUUAUUGAUCAAGAACGAAAGUUAAGGGAUCAAAGAUGAUUAGAUACCGUCGUAGUCUUGACUUUAAACUUUGCCUACAAGUGAUUAGAAGAGUUAUAGUUUUUCUAGAAGCUUUAAAGAAAUUAAAGUUUGAAGGUUCUGGGGGGAGUAUAAUCGCAAGAUUGAAACUUAAAGGAAUUGACGGAAGGGCACCACCAGAAGUGGAGCUUGCGGCUUAAUUUGACUCAACACGGGAAAUUUUACCAGGUCCAGACAUAAAAAGGAUUGACAGAUUGAUUGUUUUUUCUUGAUCCUAUGGGUGGUGGUGCAUGGCCGUUCUUAGUUGGUGGAGUGAUCUGUCAGGUUAAUUCCGUUAACGAACGAGAUUUUUCCUUUUUUAUUUUAAUUAAGGUGAUAAACCAUAUUAAGAGGAACUUUGUAUAUGUAAUGCAAGGAAGUUAAAAGCGAUAACAGGUCUGUGAUGCCCUUAGAUGUCUUGGGUUGCACGCGCGCUACAAUAGCACGUUUAAUAAGCUUAAUGUCUCGAAAGGAUGUUAGAAUCAGUUUAUACGUGUUGAUCCUGGGAUAAAAUCUUGUAAUUUUGGAUUUUUAACAUGGAAUUUCUUGUAAAUAUAAAUCAUUAUUUUAUAUUGAAUAUGUCCCUGCCCUUUGUACACACCGCCCGUCGCUGUAACUGAUUGGGGUAUUGGGUGAACUGUUUGGAGACUUUUUUUAUUAAAUGAAUAAGAAAUAGUUUAAAAACUGUGAACUGUAAUAACCUAGAAAUUGCAAAAGUCG